GGGUAGUUUGACUGGGGCGGUCUCCUCCUAAAGAGUAACGGAGGAGCACGAAGGUCAGCUAAUCCUGGUCGGACAUCAGGAGGUUAGUGCAAUGGCAUAAGCUGGCUUGACUGCGAGCGUGACGGCGCGAGCAGGUGCGAAAGCAGGUCAUAGUGAUCCGGUGGUUCUGAAUGGAAGGGCCAUCGCUCAACGGAUAAAAGGUACUCCGGGGAUAACAGGCUGAUACCGCCCAAGAGUUCAUAUCGACGGCGGUGUUUGGCACCUCGAUGUCGGCUCAUCACAUCCUGGGGCUGAAGUAGGUCCCAAGGGUAUGGCUGUUCGCCAUUUAAAGUGGUACGCGAGCUGGGUUUAGAACGUCGUGAGACAGUUCGGUCCCUAUCUGCCGUGGGCGCUGGAGAAUUGAGGGGGGCUGCUCCUAGUACGAGAGGACCGGAGUGGACGCAUCACUGGUGUUCGGGUUGUCAUGCCAAUGGCAUUGCCCGGUAGCUAAAUGCGGAAGAGAUAAGUGCUGAAAGCAUCUAAGCACGAAACUUGCCCCGAGAUG
rnacentral:rRNA from 1 species